rnacentral:rRNA from 1 species
UAUAUACUGUGAACUGCGAAUGGCUCAUUAAAUCAGUUAUCGUUUAUUUGAUAGUACCUUACUACUUGGAUAACCGUGGUAAUUCUAGAGCUAAUACAUGCUAAAAACCUCGACUUUUGAAGGGGUGUAUUUAUUAGAUAAAAAACCAAUGCCCUUCGGGGCUCUUUGGUGAUUCAUGAUAACUUAACGAAUCGCAUGGCCUUGCGCUGGCGAUGGUUCAUUCAAAUUUCUGCCCUAUCAACUUUCGAUGGUAGGAUAGUGGCCUACCAUGGUUUCAACGGGUAACGGGGAAUUAGGGUUCGAUUCCGGAGAGGGAGCCUGAGAAACGGCUACCACAUCCAAGGAAGGCAGCAGGCGCGCAAAUUACCCAAUCCCGACACGGGGAGGUAGUGACAAUAAAUACUGAUACAGGGCUCUUUUGGGUCUUGUAAUUGGAAUGAGUACAAUUUAAAUCCCUUAACGAGGAACAAUUGGAGGGCAAGUCUGGUGCCAGCAGCCGCGGUAAUUCCAGCUCCAAUAGCGUAUAUUAAAGUUGUUGCAGUUAAAAAGCUCGUAGUUGAACCUUGGGCCUGGCUGGCCGGUCCGCCUCACCGCGUGCACUGGUUCGGCCGGGCCUUUCCUUCUGGGAAUCUGCAUGCCCUUUACUGGGUGUGUUAGGGAACCAGGACUUUUACUUUGAAAAAAUUAGAGUGUUCAAAGCAGGCCUUUGCUCGAAUACAUUAGCAUGGAAUAAUAGAAUAGGACGUGCGGUCCUAUUUUGUUGGUUUCUAGGACCGCCGUAAUGAUUAAUAGGGAUAGUCGGGGGCAUCAGUAUUCAAUUGUCAGAGGUGAAAUUCUUGGAUUUAUUGAAGACUAACUACUGCGAAAGCAUUUGCCAAGGAUGUUUUCAUUAAUCAGUGAACGAAAGUUAGGGGAUCGAAGACGAUCAGAUACCGUCGUAGUCUUAACCGUAAACUAUGCCGACUAGGGAUCGGGCGAUGUUAUUAUUUUGACUCGCUCGGCACCUUACGAGAAAUCAAAGUCUUG